CUGCAAUAAACAUUCAUUGCUGUCGGUGGGUUGUAGUUUAGAAAAGCUCAUUGAUCAAUGAAUGCAAACUGCAG
rnacentral:pre_miRNA from 21 species